rnacentral:lncRNA from 1 species
UAUAUCCCCAAUGAUUCACCAUUUUUACCACAAAACCGUGCUCCUCACUCUCCAGUUUUCUGGAUCUUCUCACUUAUAUUGGGAUAGAGUAAAUAAAUAUCCUUUGAGGUUCACAGGUCCAGAAUCUGGGAAUAAAAACAUAAUGGAUCCAGAUAAUCCCUAUUCUCUUUUUAAAGAAUGCUUUCACUUAAGUCCUUCAUCUAGGUUUCCGCCCAGCAGAUAACAUUUCGGCGUUGAGGUUGAUGAACACUCAUGGUCUGCUUAUAGAAGGGACUGAGUCAUGCCAUUAGUGCCUAAGGAAUUUUCUUAGCAGGGGACUGUGGACAGGAACCCGUCUGGAAUGGAGACUGGGAGUGUGGCAGGCAUGAAAUGGAUUGGUCCAUGUUCUCCAACAUACAUUCCACUCGGUGCUCUUUCUGUUUUUACAUUUGUCUAUAACUUUUCCUUACAGAACUAAGGAAUUCAGUCAUCCGUAUUACUUCUCUUAUAUUCCUCUACUUCCUGUUGUUUUCAUGGUGAAUGUUGUUUUGGAAUUUUGUAAAAGGAGAAAGAAUAAAGGCUUGAAUUAUAGGUAGAAUUCUAAGUUUAGCAAACCCAAAAGGUGGAUCCCAUGGCAAUAAUAAAAAAAUAAUAAAAACUUAGUGCAGCCUCUGAAGCUAAGAUUUAUGUGAAGACAGUGAGGCUAACUUAAUGACUUUUCCGCCUACUUGGAACAGUCAAUCCUAGGCUGAUUCAAUAGGAUUUUCCCAAGAAUUCACCUGUUAUACCUGUUAAUUACGGGAAUAGUAGAAGGUCUGGCUGUACCUAGACAUAAGAUCUUUUGUUGUAUUUUCUUCUUUGAAUUGUUGCUAUUUUGUGAUUCUUGUAUAUGCCCAAAGGUACUUUAAUAGGACAUUAUAUUUUCAUAUUUUUAGAGGUAACUUAGGAAAAGAUGACUUUUAACUGCCAUGAUAAACCAAAAAUUCUGUUGAUUAACUUUUCCUGAUAGGCCUUGAAUGUGGUAAUGUGCUUUCAUUUUGGGGAGAAAUGAUUAUUCUUCUGACCUUUUGUCAUGGUAAAAGAAAAAAGAAUGUUCUGAUGUUAUUUUAUUUUUCUUCUUCAUAUCAGAGUUAUCCAUUCAAGGAAGGUAUUCAAAGAAGAUAUAUUUCAAAAAAAAAAGAUUCCUUCAUUUAAAGCCACCUACUCAUACUUCUUAUCUUUGUUCUGUGCUCAUACCUUUACCCAAGUCUGCAUAUAGAACAUUUAGCAAUCCCGGACUUCUCGUCGAUACCAUCACUGGUGUAUAUGAACAAUAAGUGUAGUCUAAACAUUCCUCUCAUGUUUUUGCAUUUUUUUCUGAUUUCAUUGCUUUUCUUUCAGUUCAGGUAUUGCUGAUUUUUUUCUUGCAUUAGUGGAAUAUCCUAUCCUUAAUUCUACCUCCUUGAGUUAGUGUCUCUGUGAUCUGUCCCCAUCCUAAUGGGUCUCACAUUCUUCAGUAUAACUUGAAUUGCUCAGAAUAUUAUGUUCCAGCUCCUUAACUUGAUCUUACGAGAUUACCUUCUGUCUUUGCUUCUCUCCUUUUUCCUCAAGAAUGAAUUGCUGAAUUUCCUUCACAAGAUACUCUGUCAUCUGCUCUUUCUAGCUAACACUGGAAAAUUCAUACUUAUCACCAAAUUCAGAUUAAAUAAUAUUUUCUGUCACUACCCCCAGACAGUUGUAAGCAUUUUUUCCUCUGUGUUCCUACAGUAUUUUGCAUAUAUUAUAUCAAAUCUUAAAAGUUUCUGUUUUGUUUUGUUUUAAUAUUUCUUUUUCUUCCUCUAGAUUUUGACAUUCUUGAGGGCAACAACUCUGUCUUAUUCUUUGUGCCAAUAGCAACUAAUAUGCUACCUAAAACACUGUGGAGAAAAUAUAAAAAUAUAAAUGAACUGAUGCUUCUGAGUCAGUAUAAAUCCAUCACCACUUCAGAAAGAUGCCUAGGGUAUAUCCUUCAGAUAGUGGGAAAUAAAUUUAUUUUUCUAUACAAAGGAAAAAUAAAACUUUGUGGAGAAUAUUAAAUAUCUUGUUCACUGAGGUAUUUAUGAGGUUUUAGAAUUGAAUUGAAAUUCCACUCUCAGUAUAAAUCCUAGCUACAAGUCUAGCGUACUUAGGGGACUGAUACUAGAAAAAGAAACAAAAAGAAAACCAAACAUUAGGUUUUAGUCUAAGAAUUUGAGUGCUUUUUUAGACCCACCAAAUAUAAUCAGAUUUAUAUUUAUUUUUACAGAAAUGUUUGCUCAGCUAAUGCAUUCCUAAUCAAAUAAUGGGUGUUCCAUGAUGGAAAUUUCAAAUAAAGUUCUUAAGGCUGUCAAAAAGUAAAUAAGCUAACUAGAAUUAUAUUUCUUUGUUUCCCAGUGGACCUCAUAAAUGUUUGGAGAGGGGUAUGGUGUACUUAGAAAUAGGCCAGAGAGAAACUCAAUUGCAAGUUCAGGCAACAUUUCCUCCUCCACCCCUCACCCCAACCAGUGAUUUCACACAUAUCGUCUGAUGAGAGAUGUCUGUUUUUAAGUAACAAAUAUCUUCACGAUCUAUUAUUAUUUUUUUAAAUUUAAUUUGGCUUAGUUUUGACACACUCCAUACCACUUAAAAAAAAAAUCCACAAAAAAGUUAGCAGGAUAUGUUAAAAUGUACAAUUUCAUUAACAAAUUUUGUUGUAUAAAAAUAUAGCCCACUUUAUAUUUUCUCAUUAACUUUGUGCUUUUAUGGCUAUCCACAUGAAUUUUACCUGCAUGAAAGUGAGCGUGGUUUGAUCGGUUUUUAACGUGCACUGUCGCGUGCACAAGGGAACAAGGUAUGUUCUUAAAAUGUAACCUUAGAUUAUUUUGAGGCUGAUGUUGAGUUCCUUGAGAGACCCUUCCAAAAGCCUUUGACAUGCUGCAUUCUGCCCAUAAGGGUUCUCCAGCUGAACAUAAGCUCUGCUACAUUAAUUCUGGAGACAUGGGGAUCACAGAAAACUGACUCCUCUUGAAUACCCAAAUUUAAACACUAUAAACAACAGUCCAGUGCCAAUGAAAUAUUCUUGAAAAAUCCAUGAAUUUAUUUUCAGUUUUGUGGUUUGUAACACAUAAGUAAUUAAACCAAGUUUUAUGAGACAUCAUUCUGAAAGAUUUGAUUAAAAUAGAUUCGGAAGUGUUGAAAUGAAAUGGCAAAAGUUCAGAUGGUCUGUGUUUACUCUUGUUUGAAACAUCUCUCAGUGGGAAGAAUGAAAGCAGUGGGCCACAAGUUCAGCUUUUGUAAGGUUGCGAAUCUACUUUAUUUGAAAAGAAUGUGGUUCACGUGUUGUGAGACAAUUUGAGAAAAAUGAGAUUGCUGCCCUCUGAGCUCAUGAAAUAUUAGGACAAUUGGUCAUAGAAGAAAAUAGUCAAUAGGAGGUCUCUCUCAUUAGAAUAUUAGAAUGCUAAAAAUUGCCCUUAGCGUUUUUUUUCAUGUUAUCCAAGACUCUUAAGAAACCUGAGUCCUAAAAAAUAACAUAUGUAUAUAUAUGAAAUAAAUAGGAAAGAAAAAUUUAUCUAAAGACUGUUCUUUUACUCAUCUUCAUUUGCACCUUAUAAAAGCUCCAGGGAAAAUGAAUUUUUUGGAAAAGUCACACUUGACCUGACUCUUAUUUUUCACUUGAUCUUAGCCAAAAGGCCGAGAAGCGAUCUGACUCUUAUUUUUAAAGAUCAUUAGCAAGAACAGUAAUAGUACCUGGCUUCAGACUGUGUACGUCUUAUGUCCCAAUUCCUGAGAUAAAUACUUUAUGUCAUCCUCACAAAGAAACUGAAUAAUCUUGUUUUGCAAGUAAGUGAAUUGAGGAAUCUGUCUAAGGCCACAUCUCUAGAAACUGGAAGAGGUGAAAUGUGAACUCAAGUCCAAAGCCGUUGACAUUUUUGGGUACAAGAAAUUAAACUUUUUUAAAAGUUACCUACCUCUUUUUAAAAAAAAAUGGGGACUUACAGGAUUGAAAUGGACAGAAACUAGCAGCGCUCUGGAGGCUGAAGAGCUGAAUCAAUAUGAACAGGUUGUAGCAUCUUUCACUCCAGGACAGGUGUCUCCCCCACCCCCAGGCGGGUGACACUGAUGAGACACCACUGCUGCCACAGUAACCAUGGCUGCUGCUCCUCCCAUGUGCGCUGGUAGCUAGCCCUCCACCUUUGGUCAGUGGGCCAUGUCCUAGCCCCAUGGUCAUGUCAUGACUGUCACCGCAUGGGAGAGAGAAGACCAAGAAUUGGACUGCAGCCUACGAGGUUCCACUAACAGCGUGCAUGAAUGAGAACUGCCGAAAACAGAAAAGCUUCCCAUCCAGCCUCUGCAACCAGAUGAUCUUGGAAACUAUCAGCGCUUGUCUACAUAUGAAACAAACAUCUUCCCAAUGGGUUCCCUCCUUCUGUUUUCAUGCUUGUCUGUCUAGUCACAACGUAUCAACCAAAGUGCUCCCUUUAAAACCUGUCUGAUUAUGGUACUUCUUUAUUCAACCCUUCAGUGAGUUCUCAUCUUGCUCAGAGUAAAAGCUGAAAUCCAAGUUUCUGAUCCGUGGGCAGGGUUAAGGAAGUAAACAAGAAGGGAUAAUGAGACACAAUUAGAAAGCUGUCACCACACCUAGCCCACAGGCGUGUCUGUUCCCCUUGCACCUUAAUUUCCUUUCUUAUUUUUUCCUAAAACCAAGUUCUCUCCUAACUAACAAUCCGAGGUGAUACUGAAAACUUAGCUUUGACUGUAUAUAAGAAGCAAAAUAAUUUCAGAACUUCAAGACUACUUAGAUUCAAGAUACUAGCACCAUAAUGUCAGACUAGAUAAUUUAUAGAAAAAGUGAUGCUACAUUCCAACACUGUUGCUGUAACAGCAGCUGGGCAUCCUGCUAUUCAGUUCAGUGCUGAUGCUACCUGGAGUUAGUGCAGACGUCACAAGUUAAAGGCUCGGUCUCCUAAGACUGUCCACUGAUCAGACAGCAGUUUCAAGCUUUGGGUAUUCCAAAGCCACCUAGACUUCCGCCCAAGUUAGCUAUAAAUUUGGGGGUUCCCAUGACUCCUCCUUCAGUUAAGAUAAUUUGCUAGAAUGAAUCACAGAACUCACUGAAAGUGCUUUGCUUGUGACUACAGUUUCAUCCUAAUGGCUACAACUCAAGAACAGCCAGAUAGGAAAGACACAAAAGGCAAGGUCUGAAGGGGUCCAAGCACAGGAGGUUCUACCCCACGCGGCUGCAGUGUAACACCUUCCAGGUGCAUUGAUAUGUUCACUAACGAGGAAGCCGUCCAAACCUCACUGUUCAAGAGUUUGUAUCCAGAAUUACAUAGGCAUGAUUGGUUAAACCUCUAGCCAAGUCUCUGAACUCAGUCUCUAGCUCCCUCCUCUCCAAGAAGGUCAGAGAAUGGAGCUGAAAGUUCCAAACUUUUAAUGAAUCAUUUUGGUCUUUUUGGCAUGACCAGCUCUUCUUUUGAAACUAUUUAGGGACCCACCAGGAAUCACUUCAUUAGCAUAACUCAGGUAUGCUUGAAAGGAGCUUGUU